AGCGGCGCUCCGGCCGCUCCCCUCAGCCGCGUCCCGCAGCAGCGAGCGGCUCCCGGCCCGCCUGCCUUCGGCGCUGCUCCCCCGUGCGAGGUGUUGCCGUGGGCAGGUGUUGUCCGGGCAGCCCCGGCCCUGCAGGAAGCACCUAGCAUCCAAGAGAACUAAGGGAAGUCAACAAAAUCUUGUGAGAGUUACAUUUUAACCCCUUGUUCCAGUCAGUGUCUGCCUGCCUCUGCCUGAGGAAGCGCCAUGGGAAAGCCUUACAUGGCACAAUUUGGAUGAUGUCUGGACUUAAACCCAUUACCAGAAAAAGAUAAUGAUGCUGUUGUGAGAGCCAGAUGAAGAGACAACACAUAGUACCAUAUACAAGGAAAAUCUUGAAUGAGCAAAGAGGAUGUACAUGAUGGAGUUGUUUACCAGCAGAUGGCGUGCCUGACUCCCUGAGACCAGAGAUCCCAAGCAGCAUGCAAAUCAUACAAGCAUAGAAACAAUAGUAUGAUAUAAGAAACAAUUAUGCAAGAAACCUGCUCCUCUUUCCUUAGAAGAAAGUAGUGAUGUUACCACAAUAUUUUUGAAGGAAAAAUGUCAACAUUUUUGAUUGCAUGACUGUGUGUUUGAAUUGUAAUAAAGGGCAGGUCUCUUCCUUUCCUUCAGUAACCUCCACACAUAUAAGUAAUUGAGUAUUAAUAAGAAAAGAUUUUAUUUAAGUUCCUUUUAAAAAUAAUCCACACUGAAAAAAAAAAAGGCCAGCUGAUAAAAAUUGCUUUGUCUGCCCCCUAGAAAUGGAAAAAGAGAAAUUAUUUUGGAACUACAAGCCACAGACAUGCAAAAUGGUGAUGGAAGUUAUACCAAAGCUUGCUGUAAGUGUCCCUCAGGUAAACAAGUCCUGUGGUAAAAUUAUUACAUGAUUGAUUGUCUUAGGUUGCAAGAUGUGGCUGGGGGUGUGUAUUCUGUUGCCAUCUGUUAGAAGUGGGGCAGUUAUCUACUGUUAAUUGGGCCACCUGUCAAAACCAGCUGGGGCAGUUUUCUUUAGCUCUUCCAUGACCAAUCCACCCUCUGGGAGAUACCUGCUGUUAAUGGGCCAUUGAGUCUCACGGCAUGACUGAUAAAAUUACAUCAUCCCAUUGGGAGAUGUUGCACCCAGGGGGAGGAGCCAAGCAUUCCUACCUGGAUAUAAUCUAAGAUUUGGAACACCAGAAGCAGCCGUUUUCCUACUAGAUUCCCAGAGGAAGACUAGGUCCAUCUACACCACCACUAGACCGUCAGAGGAAGAGCACAUCCUUCUACAGGAUCACUGCUUCAACAGAACCACUGCAGCCACCAUUUAAUGGGACUGCUUCCAAUACCCUGACCAACAGGGUGUCGGGUUGUAUUCUGAUUCUGACAGUGGUUUUUUUUGUACUAAUGCAUUUGUAUUUUUAAUUUUCCUAGUAAAGAACUGUUAUUCUUAUUUCCAUAUCUUUGCCUGAGAGCCCCUUAAUUUAAAAUUAUAAUAAUUUGGAGGGAGGGGGUUUAUAUUUUCCAUUUCAAAGGAGGCUCCUGCCUUCCUUAGCAGACACCUGUCUUUUCAUGGCAAGACAUGGAUAAAGCAAACUCUUACUGUCCUCUAGAUGUCACAAUGUGGAAGAGGAUCAGCUGGAUACCAGGGCUGCCACACUUGAAGCUAAAUAGUUUUUGGCAUGGUUGUUAAAGAAAAGCUACAGAACGGCACGGCACAUUCACCAUGGUGCCCAUCCUGAUGUGACAUGCUCUGGAGCAAGCAGGCUCCUGCUCAGGCACUAGGAAUAAACACUGGGCCAAGCCUGGGAGACAGGGACAUGGACAUCCAUAUUACGUCCACAUUGGUCAUUCUGGAUUCUGGCUUGGUCACUCAGCAUAGAUUUUUGGUGACUUCCUUGUUUUGAUAAAAUCAGAGAGAAUAUGCAGUUACUCUUGUAGCACAGUGCUCUUCCCAUUAUAAGUUUUAUUUCUUACCAAAGCAACAUGGUUCUUACAUAUAUAUAUGCACAUAUAAAUAAAUAGAAUGGCAACAUUAAUAAAUAACUACAAUGUUAAAUAUAUACACAUCAGGAGGACUUGCUAUUGCAACUUUACUUGCAGAUACUCGCAAAUACAUACUCAUCCAACAGCUCUUUCUUACAAAAGAAGAUACAACAAAUUCAGAGACUUGGAAUAAGAUAUUUAAGAAUAAGAAUUGUGUGAUUCUUUCACAUGUAUAUGUCUAAAAGAAAGACUGCGGAUCAGAGUUGAGUGAAAAUGAAGAAGUGGUGAUAAAUAGUAAGUUAUUAGACAUAAUUUGGAACAUUCAUAACUUCAAGUACAAAAUAGGAAGAAUCAUCUUGCUCUUCAAAUUCCUGAAAUAAUCCUGUUCCUUUUCAGAAUCCUUCAUGUUACAGGGCCUGGCUCAUUAAAAGCUGUGAUUUAAAUGUA